GAUGAACGCUGGCGGCGUGCCUAAUACAUGCAAGUCGAGCGAACGGACGAGAAGCUUGCUUCUCUGAUGUUAGCGGCGGACGGGUGAGUAACACGUGGAUAACCUACCUAUAAGACUGGGAUAACUUCGGGAAACCGUAGCUAAUACCGGAUAAUAUUUUGAACCGCAUGGUUCAAAGGUGAAAGACGGUCUUGCUGUCACUUAUAGAUGGAUCCGCGCUGCAUUAGCUAGUUGGUAAGGUAACGGCUUACCAAGGCAACGAUGCAUAGCCGACCUGAGAGGGUGAUCGGCCACACUGGAACUGAGACACGGUCCAGACUCCUACGGGAGGCAGCAGUAGGGAAUCUUCCGCAAUGGGCGAAAGCCUGACGGAGCAACGCCGCGUGAGUGAUGAAGGUCUUCGGAUCGUAAAACUCUGUUAUUAGGGAAGAACAUAUGUGUAAGUAACUGUGCACAUCUUGACGGUACCUAAUCAGAAAGCCACGGCUAACUACGUGCCAGCAGCCGCGGUAAUACGUAGGUGGCAAGCGUUAUCCGGAAUUAUUGGGCGUAAAGCGCGCGUAGCGGUUUUUUAGUCUGAUGUGAAAGCCCACGGCUCAACCGUGGAGGGUCAUUGGAAACUGGAAAACUUGAGUGCAGAAGAGGAAAGUGGAAUUCCAUGUGUAGCGGUGAAAUGCGCAGAGAUAUGGAGGAACACCAGUGGCGAAGGCGACUUUCUGGUCUGUAACUGACGCUGAUGUGCGAAAGCGUGGGGAUCAAACAGGAUUAGAUACCCUGGUAGUCCACGCCGUAAACGAUGAGUGCUAAGUGUUAGGGGGUUUCCGCCCCUUAGUGCUGCAGCUAACGCAUUAAGCACUCCGCCUGGGGAGUACGACCGCAAGGUUGAAACUCAAAGGAAUUGACGGGGACCCGCACAAGCGGUGGAGCAUGUGGUUUAAUUCGAAGCAACGCGAAGAACCUUACCAAAUCUUGACAUCCUUUGACAACUCUAGAGAUAGAGCUUUCCCCUUCGGGGGACAAAGUGACAGGUGGUGCAUGGUUGUCGUCAGCUCGUGUCGUGAGAUGUUGGGUUAAGUCCCGCAACGAGCGCAACCCUUAAGCUUAGUUGCCAUCAUUAAGUUGGGCACUCUAAGUUGACUGCCGGUGACAAACCGGAGGAAGGUGGGGAUGACGUCAAAUCAUCAUGCCCCUUAUGAUUUGGGCUACACACGUGCUACAAUGGACAAUACAAAGGGCAGCGAAACCGCGAGGUCAAGCAAAUCCCAUAAAGUUGUUCUCAGUUCGGAUUGUAGUCUGCAACUCGACUACAUGAAGCUGGAAUCGCUAGUAAUCGUAGAUCAGCAUGCUACGGUGAAUACGUUCCCGGGUCU
rnacentral:rRNA from 1 species